rnacentral:rRNA from 1 species
UACGGGGGGGGCAAGCGUUGUUCGGAAUUACUGGGCGUAAAGGGCUUGUAGGCGGCCAACUAAGUCAGACGUGAAAUCCCCAGGCUCAACCUGGGAACUGCGUCUGAUACUGGAUGGCUUGAAUCCGGGAGAGGGAUGCAGAAUUCCAGGUGUAGCGGUGAAAUGCGUAGAUAUCUGGAGGAAUACCGGUGGCGAAGGCGCAUCCUGGACCGGCAUUGACGCUGAGGAGCGAAAGCCAGGGGAGCAAACGGG